rnacentral:rRNA from 1 species
CAUGCCCCCUUAGUGACCCUGGGCUACACAACGUGCGUACCGAAUGGGCGGUACAAAGGGUACGCGAACCCGCGAGGGGGAGCCAAAUCCCAAAAGACCGCUCUCAGUUCGGAUUGCAGGCUGCAACUCGCCUGCAUGAAGCCGGAAUCGCUAGUAAUCGCGGAUCAGCAUGCCGCGGUGAAUACGUUCCCGGGCCUU